CCCAGCACAGCAAAUGAAUCAUUAAGUAAAGUUUUAAAAAAAAAAAUGUAAGGGGAUUCCCCAGUGGAAGUCCCCCUUGCCAUGCAGAGGACUCAGGUUCAAUCUGUGGUCUGGAAAGAUCCCACAUGCCAUGGGGCAGCUAAUGGGCUUAGCCCAUGCAGUCUAGAGUGUGUGUUCCACAAGAAAAGCCACUGCAGGGAGAAGCCUGCACACUGCAACUAGUAAGCAGCCCCGACACAGCUAGAGAAAGCCUGUGCACGGCCACAAAGACUCAGCACAGCCAGAAAGAAAGAAAGAAAAAUUUUUUUUUAAAGAGAGAGAUUUGGGCCUUUAGGCUGGGGUCCAUGGGGAGCCUUCAAGCCUUACCUUCUGGAUGGAUCCCUCCUGCUUCAGAGGGAGACACUGGAGGCCAUGGGAGAAGGAUGCAGACUUCCUUUGUAUAGGUUCCAUUCUAUCCUCUGUCUGCAACAAGGAAAAGAAAUUAUAAGAAGUGAUAUGACAGGACCCCCAGCCAUGAGUGAAGGGGAUUUCCCUGAUGGCUCUAUGCUAUGUUUAGCUGCAUCCGACUCUUUGCAACCCCAUGGACUACAGCCUGCCAGACUCCUCUAUUCAUGGGUUUUUCCAGGCAAGAAUACUGAAGCGGGUUGCCAUUUUCUUCUCCAGGACAUCUUCCCGACCCAGGGAUCAAAAUUGUGUCUCUUGAGUCUUCUGUAUUGGCACAGAUUCCUUGUCACUGCCCUCAUGGCUCAGUGAUAAAGAACCCACCUGCCGAUGCAGGAGACACGUGUUCGAUUCCUGGUCUGGGAAGAUUCCAGUUGCCCCAGAGCAAUAAGCGUGUGCAGCACAUAUACUGAGCCCAUGCUCUAGAUCCUGGAGCUGCAACUGCUGAAGCCUGCCUGCCCAAGAGCCUGAGCUCCGCAACACAGAGGCCAGCACAAUGAGAAGCCCGCACACUGCAGCUAGAGAGUAACCCUGCACUCUGUAACUAGAGAAAAGCC
rnacentral:lncRNA from 1 species